GACGAACGCUGGCGGCGUGCUUAACACAUGCAAGUCGAACGGAAAGGCCCUGCUUUUGUGGGGUGCUCGAGUGGAGAACGGGUGAGUAACACGUGAGUAACCUGCCCUUGACUUUGGGAUAACUUCAGGAAACUGGGGCUAAUACCGGAUAGGAGCUCCUGCUGCAUGGUGGGGGUUGGAAAGUUUCGGCGGUUGGGGAUGGGCUCGCGGCUUAUCAGCUUGUUGGUGGGGUAGUGGCUUACCAAGGCUUUGACGGGUAGCCGGCCUGAGAGGGUGACCGGCCACAUUGGGACUGAGAUACGGCCCAGACUCCUACGGGAGGCAGCAGUGGGGAAUAUUGCACAAUGGGCGGAAGCCUGAUGCAGCAACGCCGCGUGCGGGAUGACGGCCUUCGGGUUGUAAACCGCUUUCGCCUGUGACGAAGCGUGAGUGACGGUAAUGGGUAAAGAAGCACCGACUAACUACGUG
rnacentral:rRNA from 1 species